CAGCCGCCGCGGGAAUACGAAGGGGGCUAGCGUUGCUCGGAAUUACUGGGCGUAAAGGGAGCGUAGGCGGUUCGUUAAGUCUGUUGUGAAAGCCCCGGGCUCAACCUGGGAAUGGCAAUGGAUACUGGCGAGCUAGAGUGUGUCAGAGGAUGGUGGAACUCCCGGUGUAGCGGUGAAAUGCGUAGAGAUCGGGAGGAACAUCAGUGGCGAAGGCGGCCAUCUGGGACAACGCUGACGCUGAGGCACGAAAGCGUGGGGAGCAAACAGGAUUAGAUACCCGCGUAGUCCCUGUCUCUUAUAC
rnacentral:rRNA from 1 species